rnacentral:lncRNA from 1 species
AGCCUUCUGCUGAGAUGGAGCCUUUCCUCGCUCUUUAUCCACCUUCCUUUCCCUUCUCUUUGAAAUCAUUUCUUCAGUGCCUUAACAAAGUAGGGGAAGCUCUCCAGAGCUUUUGUUUUUCUCACAGCAAGCAGUGUCAGAUUAAACUGUCUUGUGUCACUAUUUGUCCUCAAUAAGUAGAAGAACAGGAGGAUUACUAGUUUACAAAAUAUCGGAUAGAAAGAGCGCCAUUGUAGUAUCUUUAUUGUACUAAUUACUAGAGAGAG